rnacentral:lncRNA from 1 species
GUAAGUGUUUAUUGAUUACAGUGUCAGAAUUGUUGCAUGUAGUCUCCGUUCGCUCGUCCGGUGUUCGUCCUCUGUCCACAUGUAGGGCUUACUGCUGGGCGAAACCGACCCUUUACCAGGUCGGGGCCAGAUGCUCACCCAGACCCCAGGAGUAAGUGAGGCAAAUGGCGUUUAUUCACUACUAAACACAGCUUAUAUACAUUUUUACCUAGAUAACCGUGCUGUCAUGUCCCACUCUGAUUAGUUCACACCAGAUAACAUUGUGCCUUAUUUGGCCGUUUCCACAUUCUUUUAUCAUCCUUCUUCUUCUCCUGUUUUCUCUGCAACAAGGUCAGCACGAUAGCACUAUCUCUCUAUGUUUAGGGAGAGGCCUGUCCCGUACAUCCCGUGCCCCCGCAAGACGCCUACUACAACAUCUCCCCCUCCCUAAGCUAAAUACUACUUACACACACACCUAACCCGUACAUCGCGAAGCAGCGCAAAACGCCUAAUCCUAAAUAUAUUUCAGCACACUAUUCCUACUAUUUUCUACUACAGUUCUUAAGCAAUCAUCAGAGCAACAGGGAAUUCUUUUCCGUGCUCGGCCAAGCCUUGCCCCGUUACAGCACGAACGCAACAACCUAAACCCUCUAUAAUUUUUCACGCAAUCUAUGAUACUCAAUGUGAUAGUCAAAAGUCUUGUCCAUCAUUCGUUGAAGGCAGUUCUGCAAGCAUCCUACAAAGCAUGGAAGACAGAUUAGAAUACACACAAAGAUUGCAAAUCCUACUGCGAGAGCUUUAAGCAAUUGCUUUAACCAUGAACCCGUUCCCCCAAACAGUCCGUCCAGCCAGCUUCCAAAGGGAUCACGCUCUUCUUUAAUUUUCUGCAUAUGUUCUUGUGUCCAUUGUAGUUGUUUGUGACACUCUGUAAUCGCCAUGGACACCAUAAACAUCGGCAACAUCGGAAGUGUCAGCGUUGCAGGUGUAGUGCUCCUCUUGACGAGUGGUUCUUGAUCCCAUCGUCUGUCCCUCAGUUGUUCUGGAGUUGGCUUCGGUCUGCCAACGAAGAAUUUCUGUAGAAAACUCGCACCUAGACUCAGUUUUUGCAGAUAUGCUACUUAUAUCUGGUAUUACUUUUCGCGAUGGUACCCACAGAAUUUCCCAGAUUCAUGAUAUUUAACUGCUGCAUACCCGACCACGGAUACCCUUUAGCAAGCCCUUCCUGUGAUCAGGAGGCCCUGACUGGCCUCCCCCACAGGGGCAUUGUGCUCUAACAUGGCCAUACUGGCCGUAUCGGAAACACAGCCCUUGCUGCUGCAGCGAUCUUUGCUGUCGCAGGCCAACAGCUACGACAAUAGCUGUGACUAGCCUUUCAUUAGUUAAAUGAGCCACCUUGAGCUUAUCUAAGACAUACUGAAUAACUUCUCCCGAGGUAUUAAGCGUACUUCGGCCGGCUCGCAGCAAUGCCUUAACAUUGUCAUGCGAUUUCUGCUGCAAGCAGUCAAUGAUCACUGGCCCUUGGGCCGGUACCAGGAGAUCAGACCCCUCUGCAGCAGCUAAAAGCCUGUCUGUAAAGCUUUGAAAGGAUUCAUUCGGGCCCUGGGUAAUAUCUGUGCACGGAGUAGGUGGUUCGGCCUUAUGCACAAGUUUAUUAAACGCUUCCACCACUGCAUCUGUGGCUGCUAUUAGCUCCCCUGGCCUUAGUCUCGCUAGCUGGCCCUGGGGCGAAGCCACUCCCACGGCCUUCCCUGAAAGCCGCUGUAUUCCGGUCCCAUGCAGGGAGCAGCCCGGGCCGACCCCUGUCGCCCCGGCACGGCCCCCCAACUCGGCCACCCAGUCCGUCUCCCAUAACGUAUAUUGAACCAGCCUGAGCACCAUACGCAUUAAGUUUGUGAUGUCACGGGGGAAGAGAGGCCCCAGUGCAGCCAAAGUUUGUAGUGCAUUUAAUGUCAGAGGCGAUUUCAGGCCUCUUUUAUCCAUAAAUUCCACCAGGCGCGUAACACCCCCGGGGUCAGGCGGCACCCAUUCGGGACCACGAUCACUCACAAUCACCCGGAAUGCCUCUGGAACUAUACCCUUUCCCAAAGCCUCCGAUCUAAUCCCAUUCCAGUCCGUCAUUUGAUCCUUCCCCCUGCACUCAAAGCCAGUCCCUUCUUUCUCUUCUACACUAUCACUCGCACUACCGCCCCUGGGAGUGACCAGAGACGGUAGGCUAUGCCCCCUGUCCGCAUUGGACGGACCUUUUGUCUGGUCCCUCCCCAUGUGGGCACUAAGUUGAUCCUGCCCGUGUAGAUCACAGCUUCCUCCGCCCCCUUGAGUCAGGUAAUACUGACGUAAUUCUGAUAAAGGAUACAACGUUCCGCCUGAGGGGUGUGGAUACGGGGGAGGGGGACGAGACAACGAACUUUCACUCUCUUGUUGUUUGUCUUCUUUUGAACUGAGCGCGGUCGGCUCAGCCGGCGCCAUCCCGCCAACGGUCAUUGGCGGCUCCGUCUCCUCUCGGCCCCUGCAAGAAACUGCUCCCGAACCCCCAUCGGACCCGACCGGGUCCUGUGUCUCACCUCCUCCGCUGAGACCCAAAAGGUAUCGAGCCUCCACCAAUACCUUUCCCUCAACUCUGGCCGCUUUAAGGGCUCCUAAUAUCAGUCCCCACGUUUUAAGUUCCGUAGCCUUCUGACUGGCCAUGGCGCGCUGGCAUAGCACCGAGGUGAGCAAGUCCCACCUACUCGAAUCCAAAACGUAGCGGGGAGAGUCCAGCUCCCCCAGCUCAUUUAACAGCGACAAAACUGCCGCGAUCUCCUUCCGGGAAGGAGCACAUUUUCCAAAGUAGUCCUUACAAAACUGCACAAGUACCUUAAUGACUUGGUCCAUUGUUACGUAUGCGACCUGCCGCCACCUCACAGGCUCUUAACCGCAAUACGUCUUCCGUGCGCGACCUGCCGCCACCUCACAGGCUCUUCUCCGCGUCACGGGCACGCCGGGCAGCCACCCUCAGCAGACAGAUCACGUCGGGGUCACCACUUGUUGCAUGUAGUCUCCGUUCGCUCGUCCGGUGUUCGUCCUCUGUCCACAUGUAGGGCUUACUGCUGGGCGAAACCGACCCUUUACCAGGUCGGGGCCAGAUGCUCACCCAGACCCCAGGAGUAAGUGAGGCAAAUGGCG